GCAUAAUACCUUGUCUGGGCACAUGGUGAUUUGACUUGGCGCACAACAUUAACCAUCCCAGCAUGACUAGAUCCCACACUACUAUCUGUAUUGAGUCCACUUACCACGGACUCAUUUGAGGAAACUUCUGGCAUUGUGUUAACACUUCCAACUCCAGGGUCAGACACAUUGUCCAUCUCCAUCCCUGAUUCAGAUCCACCAUGCAAC